rnacentral:rRNA from 1 species
UACGAAGGGGGCGAGCGUUGUUCGGAUUUACUGGGCGUAAAGGGCGCGCAGGCGGUUCUGUUUGUCGAGUGUGAAAGCCCCGGGCUCAACCUGGGAACUGCGCUCGAAACGGCGGAACUAGAGUUCGGGAGAGGCGAGUGGAAUUCCGAGUGUAGAGGUGAAAUUCGUAGAUAUUCGGAAGAACACCAGUGGCGAAGGCGACUCGCUGGACAGACAUUGACGCUGAGGUGCGAAAGCGUGGGGAGCAAACAGG